CCUUGUUUUAAAGAUAGCCAUUUUGAUUUGUAUUGCGCUCGCAUGAUUCUUCUCAGGAUUACAGUUUAGUACGAGCUUAUUUACAUGCAGUAUGUUGAUUUUAACGAUGCAAAGGAUCGACAAUAUUUUCAAUAAUUCAGGUAAUUCGAUUUCAGUUUAAUACCUUGUUAUUUACAUGCAGUAUGUUGGAUUUUCACGAUGCAAACGAUCGACAAUAUUUUGAAUAUUUCCGGUAAGGAUAGCUUUAUUUCUUUCUGAAUUCUGGUGAUAUACAUGAAGACAUUUAUAUUUAGAUUUGUUGUUUAGUGUUCG